GCGAUUAUUCGCUGGUGCGCGCAGUCGUGCGGCCGCCACUGACGGGGCGGGCGGAGGGGGGCGCCACCUCCGGGGAGACCGCCCAGAGCUGCGCCGUCAGCUCCACAGCCCGUGCCCGGCGCACAGGCAUCGCCGCGCCCUCGAGUCCCCCGCAGUAAAGUUCGGCUCAACUUUGCCGCCCUGUGCCUUCCACCUCUCUGCAGGUCCUCGGCGGCCGAGGCGAAGCAGGCGGCGGCGGAUAUCCGAGUGCAGUCCCGGAGCCCUGCGCGGCAGUCAGCGGCUACAGCGACAGUGGCAGAGGAACGCGCGAGUGGGCGCCGGAGGGGACCUGGCGAGCACCUAACCCGGAGCGCACCUCUCGGAAGGGCGGGUGGAUACGGGCCUCACAGGACGUCGGACCUCUGCCGCUUGAAUCGGAGCUCACGCUGCAAUUGAUUGGGCCCCGCCGGGCGGGCGCGUGUGUUCCAGGGAGCCGGUGCGGAAGGCAGAAGGGCAGGAAGUCGGCGUUCUGCAGCGAGGGUGGCGCGACCGCGCGGGGACCGAGCCUUCCUUAUUUAUGUGCCUGGCAGAGCCCGUCUGCUUCCUGCGAAGACUUCAGGGAGAGUGUCCGAGCUGCCAUCCCCAAGUGUGAGGACGCAGCGCUGGAUGUCAGAAAAACAUGCUUCUCCAUUAAACUCCAAACUUUUCUUUUUUUAAACCCAAAGAAUAUCGGUGGCUUUUGCCCACUGCUAGAAGAGGGAGCCCAGGGCUCUUGAGAUGCAACAGAACCCAUAUUUAUAACAGGACCCGGCAGUGCUAUGCAAACCUCCUCUACUCCUUAAGUUCUCUAGCCUAUGGAUCUCGAUUUUGAGUUUUGAGAUUAGAUUGAGCGCUCUGCACUGGGUCCUGCAACCUCCAUCCUUUCAAUGCCCUGUUAUUUUUGGGACUGCUGGCCUUCCCUGGAGAUUAGAGCGGUCCUGUGUGCCAUGGGCUGUAUUCAGAGCAUCGGAGGCAAAGCCAGAGUCUUCCGGGAAGGGAUUACCGUGAUUGAUGUGAAAGCCUCCAUCGACCCCAUCCCCACCAGCAUCGACGAGUCCUCCAGCGUGGUAUUGCGCUAUCGGACACCCCACUUCCGGGCCUCAGCCCAAGUGGUCAUGCCGCCCAUUCCCAAGAAGGAGACCUGGAUCGUUGGUUGGAUUCAGGCGUGCAGCCAUAUGGAGUUUUACAACCAGUACGGGGAGCAGGGCAUGUCUAGCUGGGAGCUCCCCGACCUCCAGGAAGGAAAGAUCGAGGCCAUCAGUGACUCUGAUGGGGUGAACUAUCCCUGGUACGGCAAUACCACGGAGACCUGCACGAUUGUGGGGCCCACCAAGAGGGACUCCAAGUUCAUCAUCAGCAUGAACGAUAACUUCUACCCCAGCGUCACGUGGGCCGUGCCCGUCAGUGAGAGCAACGUGGCCAAACUGACCAACAUCUACCGGGACCAGAGCUUCACCACGUGGCUGGUGGCCACCAACACCUCCACCAAUGAUAUGAUCAUCCUGCAGACCCUGCACUGGCGCAUGCAGCUGAGCAUCGAGGUGAAUCCCAACCGGCCCCUGGGCCAGCGCGCCAGGCUGCGGGAGCCCAUUGCCCAGGACCAGCCUAAAAUCCUUAGCAAGAAUGAGCCCAUCCCGCCCAGUGCCCUGGUCAAGCCCAACGCCAACGAUGCACAGGUCCUCAUGUGGAGACCCAAGUACGGGCAGCCACUGGUGGUGAUCCCGCCCAAGCACCGGUAACAGCCAGGCUGCUGCGAGUCUGUUGCUGUGGAGGGAUGCGCACAGGAGCUCACAGGAACUUGAGGGAAUGCUGACAUCAGCUCAGCUUCUCCAGCCACCGAAGCCCUGGACAGACCUGCAAGAAGUGCAGAGAGGAUCAACACACAAGCCUCGAGUUGGGCCUGGAGCCUUCAGUAGCAGGCAGCUGGAGACACCACCACAGAAAUGAGUUUUUAAGACCCUGGGCUGAGUGUCCAGGAACACCUAUUCUUCUGUGGGAGGAAAGAACACAGCUGUUUACCUCCUGUGCCCGAUCCAAACCCAGCGAAUCCACUGCUCGGGGUCCCAAAGCCUGAGGUCUGCUGGGACAAGGACCCGAAGGUGGGUGCGUUCUGACUGGCGAGGGUACCGAAGGAUGCAGUAUUGCCGCUGCUCCCGAACCUGGGUGCGGUGAGAAUGGGACAGGGUUGUCAUGGCCCUAGUCCUCAUGCUGCCCACACCUCACUCACUGUCACCUGUCUUGGAUGUACCACACAGGAGCUGUGGUGACAAGCUUGGACCGAGUCAACAGACUCAGAGGAAACCGGCUUCUAGCCCAGAGUAAGCCUUUACCGUGGCUCUGAGAAGGAAGACAUCAGAAACAUAGUGUGAGAUCCACCUGGGGACCUGAGUCCUUAGCACUGACUAACUCCAGGUCCCUGAGAGCAAACACACUUCCCGCUCUCCUCCUGGACACCCUCACUGAGAGCGACAUUCUCAUCUCUUCACCACCUGCGUGGCCUCAUCCCUGCCAGUCCCCCUCUGCCUUGGCGACUCUAUGUUGCCUAUGCUGGCCUCAAAUACUCCUCCUGCUUCAGCCUCCUGAGGGCUGGUUUCACAAGCUAGUGCUGUGGAGUCUGGUGAUUCCACUCCUUCUAUCCUUUGCUGGGAUGUGUGUCACCACACCUGGUUACAGUGCGAAGUGCAAGCUAAGGCUUCCUGAGGGCUCAGCACGCCUCCCACUGAGCUGCAUGCCCAGCUCUCCACUCACUUUUUAGUAAGACUACGUGUGUGUGAUGUGUGUGCGGAUGCUGGCAUGCGUGUGACAGAGUGUCAUGGUGGUCAGAGGACAACUGUAGAGAAUACAUUCUUUCCUUCCAUCAUGGUUUGAGGCAGCAGCUUUCACGGUGAGGUGAGUGCUUUUACUUACUAAGCCUAUCGGUGGCCUAUCUGCUUUAAUGACUUGGUUUACCAAGGGCCCCCUGCAUAUGAGAUAUGAAGAUAAGUCAUCAUGUUUCCCUUUCGUGUGUGUGUGAGGGGACACUUUACAAGUUAUUUCACGCAGAAUUGUGUUUCAUAAAAAUCAAUAAAUACACGAAGCAACGGAGAAAUUUUCUCUCUCCUGCUACCUCACCUAGAACAAUCCUCGUUCAAGGGUUCUCCUUCCAGAUUUGCUUGACCAAAUGGGGUUGAAGAUAUAACCUAAGACAUUUUGAGGGGUUCAGUGGGGGUCCCCAAGAGGUCAGGGAGAGAGGAGUUGGUGUUUCUUGGAAGGAGACAGGAUAGGCUAAAUGCCUAAGUUACAAAGGGAAGCCAGGCAGUCCAUGGCCUCAUACACCAGGGCCUCUCUGCACUGCUCCCAGGUGUCCAGCUGUCCCUGUGCUCCUACUCUAGGGCUGACCUGAGAUCUCUGUCAGGGUUAGGCUACCACCAGUGACCAGGCACACAAUUGUUUUCCCAGAGAUUGAAUGUCUGUGCUGGUACGUUUUACUAGCCCUAGAAAAUGUGCCAGUCAGUCAUGAUUACUAAGAUAUUCCGUUCUCUCCUCUAACCUCCCAUGCGUGUGGGUCAGCCUAAGUGACCUAGAUAUUAUAUAUAUAUAUUUAUUUAUUUUUUAGUUUUUCGAGACAGGAUUCCUCUGUGUAGCCCCCUGGCUGUCCUGGAACUCACUCUGUGGAUCAGGCUGGCCUCAAACUCAAGAGAUCCGCCUGCCUCUGCCUCCCAAGUGCUGGGGUUAAAGGCAUGCACCACCACUGCAUGACACCACCUUAUUUUUACAGACAGGGUUUCACUGAGACCUGGGGCUGAGACUCAGUGUCUGGCAAGCCUCCAAGACAUGCCUCCUCAGUAUGGGAACCCCAACCACAUGCUGUCCUGCUCAGCUUUUUAUGUGGGUGCUGGGAAUUGGACUCAGGUCUUUAUGCUUUCGUGGUAUUUAUUGACUGAACUAUCUUCCCAAUUCUAUUCAUUUUUUAAAGAUUUAUUUAUUCAUUUCAUAUAUGUGAGUACACUGUUGAUCUCCUCAGACACACCAGAAGAGGGUGUCAGAUCCCAUUACAGAUGGUUGUGAGCCACCAUGUUGUUGCUGGGCUUUGAACUCAGGGCCUCUGGAAGAGCAGUCAAUGCUCUUAACUGCUGAGCCAACUCUCCAGCCCCCCAGCUCUAUUUUAAAUUCUUUAUCAUUACUAUUUGGCACAGGGUCUUCCUAUGUAGCCUGUGCUAGCUUCAGAGUCUACAACCCUACUUCUUCAGCAUCCUCAAUAGGUGCCUGUUACCCAUGUGGAGAAACGCUAGCACUGUGAAUGUGGUGCUGGGGACUCACUUAGGAAUGGGAGGGCACCCAGUAAGUCCCUACCAUAGAGCUACACUUACAACCCUCAAGAGACUUCUCUGCUAGUAAAGCAAACAGCUGCUUUCAAGUAACUUAACAAAACCUUAAGAUUCACAGUGUAUACAGAUGGAGUCCAUCCAGAACUGUGUAAAACACAGGCUUAGAGCACUUCUCAACUCUCCCUUCUGGAAGUUCUCUUUAACUGUUGUUCUUGGAGUUUCCCCAAGGAUAAAUGACCAAGAUUCCUUAGCCUGUACAAGAAAUCUGAGGCGUGCCUGUCCUCUUGCAUGCUCUUCCUGAAUGCUCUAGCAUCCCUCUGUGGAGCCGAGUUUGUUAAGAAUGUGAUCUCUUUUCAGGAUAAAGCCGCUGCUGGCUCAUGUCCAACACCCAUGUUACUCUUCCCCUUCAGAUCCCUGUCCUGAGCUGAGCACUGAGGAUGAGUCCGUCUGGGUCUACUUUAGGCAUCAGUCUCUCCUUCAGAUGAGGGACUCUCUGUAGACUUCACCACAUAUAUAUAUAUACUUAGUUGAGACGGUACAGUGCCGCAAAGGCUACUUCUUGGGGUUCUGGCAAUGAGACUAAAAUUCUAGGGCCACUAGAAGAAACUCCCCCUUCUUUUUGGUAUUUUCAUCUUUAUUUAAUUUUUAUUUUAUAUAUGUUGUUGUUUUGCCUGCAUGUACAUCUGUAUGAGGGUAUCAGAUCUUGGAGCUACAGACAAUUGUGAGCUGCCAUGUGGGUGCUAGGAUUUGAACCUGAGUCCCCUGGAACAUUGGUCAGUGCUUUUAACUGCUGAGCCAUCUCUCUAGCCCCAGUCAUGGGAUUUUCUAAUGAGGAUGUGUGUAGGAUGUGUAUAGAGCAGCUGUUGACAGCCAAGAGAACAGCAGUCUUGAGUGGGGGUUAUCCCAUUGGUGUCCUAUGUUCUAGGAGUUGUUUGCUAAAGACCAACUGGCACCUCAAGAAAACAAUCCUAACUCUUUCUUCAGGACUUUCUAAUAUAAGGACCACCUGAGAAACAGACCUGGCUGCAGCUAAACCUGGUCCAGAGAACAGGUUAUUGAUGUCCUGCAUGCUGUGCACUGACAGCCAGCAAUGCUGUGGCCAAUGAUUUAAGAACCUGCUCACAAUGUGCCUUGUCCUGAGAAAAAGACAUCUAGCAACUUUUUUUGUCUACUUAAAGGCAAGGCCGCCAGGUCACUGUGUGGUUUAGAGAAUGUAAGAAUGACAGGCCCUGGUGCUUUGGGCUGGCACAAGUUUGUGGUUUUCCCAGGUCCCACCUGCAGCUUACCCGAAUCCGCCUGCGCUGGCAGCCGCAGUACCCUCUCCGAACACUUUGCCUCCCGUCGAGCCCAGAGGGCUUGUAAAGGCUGGGGCUGAACCGAAUGCUGGCACCCCUCCAAACCCAGGGGAUCCCCCAAAAGUAGGAGGGCUGCCAAACACUGGAGCAGCACCGAAGCCACCUGAGCAAAACAGAGGCAAACAGAACAGGGAGAAAGAAAAGGAGACAGGAAAGAAGGCAUCAAGCAGUCAGAAACCAAAUCAAAAGAGGAGAAAGGGAGAGAGGACGUCAGUAAUUCCAACACAAGAAGCCAAAAAGCACAAUACCCCAACCUCAAUCCCUCAGCCACACGGCUCCUCCCACUAGGAGCAGAGGGUCUGUGGCACUAAGAGAUCUGAGCACCCUAAUGCCUCCCUGAGGCAGGUGGAACCUAUCUCAAGUCCUGUUGAGAACAAACCACCUUAAACACAGCAGGUCCAUUGCAGGUUGCUUUCUAGCCCCAUGAUAUCUGUGACUCUUCAUAGAAACCCAUCCCCAAAGCUAGUGUCUCAACCAGCAGUGGCAGGGUGACAGGCUUUACUGUUUACUAAUACACACAGCAGGCUCCUAGUUUCAUGUCCAAAGGGCAUGGCUGGAGAAGUGACCCAAGCCCUUGGAGGAGCCCAGAAGAUCGUGAGUUGGAUCCCAGACAUUGGACGGUUGGAGAUUGAUUUUUGCUUUUGAUUGUGACUGUGCCCUGAUAUUUUCCCUCUUGAAGGAAGAAACUGUUUUAGUGAUGCCCACAGUUAAGAGACUUUUAAUUUAAAAAGACUUUGGAUUUUUAAAAGAGAUGGAUAUUUUAAAGAGAUUGAAAUUUUAAGAAUAUGUAAAGACUAACUAAACCCAGCUAAUAAAGUCGGAGGUUCAAAGCCCCUUCCCUGGCAGAACCCAUGAACUGGGUCACAACAGAAGCAGGGUGGUGCAGGCUGGCACCCAGCCACAUACCUUUUAUUUAUUUACAGGCAAGUGGCUGUGGGCCUAUCACCAAUGUCCCUGACUUGUGGCAUGACUAUAAAGCGCACUGACUCUCAUUUUGGAUGAAGGCUACAGUAUAAAUGUGACCAGGUGUUAAGAUGGCUGUGAGGAUGGCCUAAGCGCCCAGAUCAGGACUCUAGGCCAUUACAGGCAAGACGGAGACAACAGAACUGGGUCAGGUCCAGCACCAGGCAGCCUCCUGGGACUGUUCCUGAGGUAUCCCCAAACCUCCAAGAUUUGCUCUAGUUCUGAGGUUCAGAAGAGAAGGGUAGUGAGGGUAUGCUGAGCUCAGAUUAGAGGCAGGGUCAUUACUGCUGACAGCAAAUCUCCUGUUCAAGUGGCGGAUCUGCUUUAUCGUCCUCACACCCGCUCCUGCCACCGUGAUCAGAAGAUCAAAUGUAGGGCAUGAGAGCAGUCAGGCGAGCAGCGGCUGCUACUUGCAAUUGAAUUCUGUGUCUAUCGUUCACAGGGCUGCACAGCUGAGGAGACAUUGCCGUGGCUCGUGUUUGGGUUACUACUCUGUCUUUUAAAACCUUGAGUGAAAUUCCAGGCUGUGCUACGGAGACUGGUGGCUUACAAACAUAAACAGAAUGGAAAAAAAGUGCUAAAAAACCAUUGUCCUUUAAUUAUUUAAAUUGACCACAGAUCUAGUUGCACUUUCUUCCUAGACAUACAAGGUUACAUCUCGCACCUCGUAUUCAAUAUUGUUUAGACUUCUUGCUGGAAUGUGAGCAAAAAAAUGAGAGGUUUUAUGACCCAAGAAAUUAACCUGGAGAGGAGCUGGCAGGAGAGCCAGCAAACAGACAGGCAGGCACACGUGCAAAAGCAAAACAAACUUGGUGUGUAGCUAAAUGAGAGAAUGGCUGCUUUGGUGUUAGUUCUGGGGUCAGGCGACUCCCUCCAAUGAGAGAGCAGGAGCUCAGCUGCAGGCUGAGUGUCUGACUGAGCAACCAAGAAGCAGGUUUGCUGGCCAGACACUCCAGUCUCUGGGCUUCCAGGGGCGGUGGCAGCUGCAUCAAGGCAGCUCCCACCCUCUCCUGGCUGGCCUGGGCCCUUCCUCCAGUGGUGCCAAGCUCUCAGAUUACCUUCUCAUCUAACUGCAGCAUGGGUAGGUGGCAGAGCUGGGAUUGGAACCUCUCAUGGCCCUGUCAUGUGUCCUGCUUUCUAACUGACGAAGAAACGCCUGCAGACCCCGGGCUGGCUGGCUGUGAGGCCAUGGUGAGGUUCGUCUCCUGUCCCUUCUGUGGUGGCCUCCAAUAGCGUUAGCUCUGACACAGUGUUUUCUGAAGGGAGGAGGAACAGACACGAGUUUUCAAAGGCUCAUCCAAAGGCUCUGCCUGAAAUCGCUUUUACAGUGAGGGGCUGAUGCUGCUCCUUUGAGCUGGAAGUCUGACUGAUCCCCUCACAGGCUCCUGAGCGCACGUACUCCCACUGAGUGCACCCCAGCCUUCUGUCCAAGUCCUUCAAUCCACCUUCAGGACAGUGCUCACUGAGCGCGUGGGCAAGCUGAGUGCAGGGCAGACAUUCUCCUCUGUCUGCUCAGAUGCCUGGGUCCCUGUCAGUCCUCAUUCUAGAUGCUCACCAAAUAGAAAAGCCAGAAUUAGGAAAACAAAUGUCUAGGUGGGAGGUAUAUUUUUUCUAAGACAGAAAACACAUUCACCAGCUUCUCAAUUUAAGUCCACCAGGACAAUGUGGAACACAGAGCCACACCCCAGAACCCAGAACAGAAGAAGUAAAGGAAACAUCAGGUGCCUAAAAAGAUAGAAAGGCUCAGUGGUUAACAAUGUAACAUUUCUCAAGUGUUCAUGCUUAUUUGAUUUCCUUGUGUACAUGUCAUGAGCUGUGUGGGAGGCCACUGAUCAGGAGCCACCCAGUUUGUUUUUUAAGAAAGGUUGCACCCCCCUCCCCAAAAAAAGAAGCCGGGCGUGGUGGUGCACACCUUUAAUCCCAGCACUGGGGAGGCAGAGGCAGGCGGAUUUCUGAGUUCGAGGCCAGCCUGGUCUACAAAGUGAGUUCCAGGACAGCCAGUGCUAUACAGAGAAACCCUGCCUUGAAAAAGAAAAAAGAAAAAAAAAAAAAGAAAGGUUGCCAAGUGGCCAUGCUGACUGUCAGUACCACCAGCUCCAAACUUGUCCUUGUAUUAGAGCUAAAAGCUGUGUCCUUUUCAUUUUUUAAUUAUUCUGUAUGUAGCCCCCAAACGAAGUUGCAAUGCCUAUUUCUAGUACCUUUUACCAAAUUCUAAGGAAAAGAUGCUAAGAACUAGUAACCUAGGACUCAGUUGUCAAGCCAGGGUUUUAGAAAGAAACACAGCAUGAAUCUAAAAGCCACUGCACCUCAGGGUCACUUUCUAAUCUGGGUCAGCCACUCCAAGAUCAGCGUCACCUCCUCAGGCAGGGAACUAUUCAAAACAGGCCAUCCAUCCAAGGGCAAACAGUACUGCCCACUCCCGAGGAGGACAGAUUGCUAGAGGCUCGGCUCCCUUUCCAGAGGACCAUCCUGCCCCCUCCCAAAACCCUCACUCCAGUCUCCCACCAAUAAGACCAGCAUUGCAGGCAGUGACAGACUGCAGACAGGCAGGUGACAGAAUUUAACAAUGUGUUUCAUGGAGCAGGAGAGCUGGCUCAGCGGUUCAGAGCACUAACUGCUCUUCUGAAGGUCCUGAGUUCAAAUCCUACAACCACAUGGUGGCUCACAACCAUCUGUAAUGAGAUCUGACGCCCUCUUCUGGUGUGUCUGAAGAUAGCUAUGGUGUAUUUAUAAUAAUAAAUAAAUCUUUGGGCCAGAACAAGAGGGGCCGCCCAGAGCGAGCAGAGGUCCUAAAUUCAAUUCCCAGCAACCACAUGAUGGCUCACAACCAUCUGUAUAGCUACAGUGUACUCAUAUACAUAAAAUAAAAUAAAUAAACUUAAAAAAAGAAAAACAACGGCUGCUCUUUCAGGACCUAGGUUCGAUUCCCACACCCAUGUAGCAGCUCACAACUAUCUGUAACUCCAUUUCCAAGGUAUCCAGCUCCAUGUUCUGACCUCCAUGAACACCAGGAUCCACACGGUUCACAGAUACACAUGAAGGCAAACAUUCCCACACAUAAAAUAAACAAACAUAUAACACAUUUCAUAAUAAUGCACCUUUUAGGACCUUUAAUGAAAAUGUAUAAAAAUUAUUUAAAAUUUUAUAGAUGUGUAUUUCUAGUAAAAGAUUAAAAAGGGUGGCCCAGACCCAUGAUCCCAGUGUCCAGGAGGUUGAGACAAAGUAUCAUGAAUUCAGGGCAGCUUUGCUUGUACAGGGAGAUACUACCUCAGAGAAAACACUCAGACAAACGCCUAAACCAAUGACUUGGGAUGGAAAGGCGGCCCAGGGACGAGGGCCUGAGCCUUCAGCACUGUGAGACGGACUCUGAGAAUAUUACAUUCUUUUAAGUGCUAUAUUACAUAUCUCCUCUUUAUAAAAGACAUUUGUUUUGUUUUGUUUUGUUUUUGCAGACAGGGUCUCAUUCAUGAGAUCAGGAUGUCCUCAAACUCAGAGAUCUGCCUGCCUUUGCCUCUGGAGAGCUGGGAUUAAAGGAGUAUGCCACCACAUCUGGUUUCUCUCUCUCUCUCUCCUCUUUUUAAAAUUUUUUUUUCAAAGAUUUAUUUUAUUUAUAUGAGUACACUGUAGUUGGGUUCAGACAUACUAGUAGAGGGUUACAGAUGGUUGUGAGCCACCAUGUGGUUGCUGGGAAUUGAAUUCAGGACCUCUGGAAGAACAGUCAGUGCUCUUAACCGCUGAGCCAUCUCUCCAGCCCAGUUUCUCUCUCUUUUUUUAAAAGCACGUCUUAUGUAUUAGAAAUGCAGUAGAUUCUCAAUAAAUAUAAAAAUACACUGGA